AUUGAACGCUAGCGGGAUGCCUUACACAUGCAAGUCGAACGGCAGCGCGGACUUCGGUCUAGCGGCGAGUGGCGAACGGGUGAGUAAUGUAUCGGAACGCGCCCAGUAGCGGGGGAUAACUACUCGAAAGAGUAGCUAAUACCGCAUACGCCCUACGGGGGAAAGGGGGGGAUCGCAAGACCUCCCACUACUUGAGCGGCCGAUAUCGGAUUAGCUAGUUGGUGAGGUAAAGGCUAACCAAGGCGACGAUCCGUAGCUGGUUUGAGAGGACGACCAGCCACACUGGGACUGAGACACGGCCCAGACUCCUACGGGAGGCAGCAGUGGGGAAUUUUGGACAAUGGGGGCAACCCUGAUCCAGCCAUUCCGCGUGUGCGAUGAAGGCCUUCGGGUUGUAAAGCACUUUUGGCAGGAAAGAAAUCGCACGGAUUAAUACUCUGUGUGGAUGACGGUACCUGCAGAAUAAGCACCGGCUAACUACGUGCCAGCCGCCGCCGUAA
rnacentral:rRNA from 1 species